AAAUGCGAUAAGUAAUGUGAAUUGCAGAAUUCAGUGAAUCAUCGAAUCUUUGAACGCACCUUGCGCUCCUUGGUAUUCCUUGGAGCAUGCCUGUUUGAGUAUCAUGAAAUCUUCAAAGUAAAUCUUUUGUUAACUCAAUUGGUUUCUACUUUGGUAUUGGAGGUCUUUGCAGCUUCACACCUGCUCCUCUUUGUUCAUUAGCUGGAUCUCAGUGUUAUGCUUGGUUCCACUCGGCGUGAUAAGUUAUCUAUCGCUGAGGACACUGUAAAAGGUGGCCAAGGUAAAUGCAGAUGAACCGCUUCUAAUAGUCCAUUGGCUUGGACAAUACUUUUAUGAUCUGAUCUCAAAUCAGGUAGGACUACCCGCUGAACUUAAGC
rnacentral:misc_RNA from 1 species